GGCAGAUCUUCCGGGCGACUCGCUCUAUAAGAAAUUAGAAAAUGCUACAAUAAAACCCGAAAAAUAGAAGAAAAAAAUGUGGCAACUUUAUUAAUGAAAGCUCGUGCGCUAUCCACCGUAAACACACACGCCCCUUUAGUUGGAAGUCACCGAUAGACAGCGAAGUACCUCAGAUCAUUCAUGGAAAGCCAUCUUCUAUAUUAAAAAUGCCACUGCUAGUACAACACGAGUGCAACUCUGGAAUGUGACGCCAUGUGUCUGCUGUCCAAAGGUCCAUCUCUAGCUGGACACCAGCCAGCCUUCACUGUCAGACAG